UCCCCUAGUAACGGCGAGUGAAGAGGGAAGAGCUCAAAUUUUAAAUCCGCCUUGUUUCAAGGCCGAGUUGUAAUUUGAAGAAGCGUUUUCUUGGGCUCGCGGCCGGUAGAAGUUCCUUGGAACAGGGCAUCAUAGAGGGUGACAAUCCCGUCUGUGACCGGUCGUGCGUUCAUCUACGAUACGCUUUCAAAGAGUCGAGUUGUUUGGGAUUGCAGCUCCAAAUGGGUGGUAAACAUCACCUAAGGCUAAAUAUUGGCGAGAGACCGAUAGCGAACAAGUACCGAGAGGGAAAGAUGAAAAGAACUUUGAAAAGAGAGUUAAACAGUACGUGAAAUUGUUGAAAGGGAAACGCUUGAAGUCAGUCGUGCUGGCGCGAAAUCAACCCGCCCGCUGAGCGAUCACAUGCCGUGGCGAGCCUCAAAACCGCCACGGCUUGUGACCACUUAACGGGUUGGUGCACUUUUGUGUCGGCUGGUUAACGUCAAUUUCUCACGUCAUAAAAAGGCUGGAGGGAUGUGGCUCCUUCGGGAGUGUUAUAACCUUUGGCGGAAUGUGGUGUUUGGGAUUGAGGAUUGCAACGAAUACCUU
rnacentral:rRNA from 1 species